CUCUCUCACUCCAUACCCUAACCUAUUUUCUCAUCUUCCUCCCUCUCUCUCUCCGUUCCCACCGUCAGCACUCUCCCUCUCCCUUUCCCUCCCCCUCUCUCGAGCUCCCUUGCCCUCGUCGUCUCCCUCUACCUAUCUCGAGCUCCCAUGCCCUCACACCUCCUUCAACAGCACCAACUCUUCAGCAGUGCUGCCUCCACCGGCUCUCCCUCUCCCUCUCUCGAGCUACUAGUUCCUAAGAGAAGAACUGUAAAAAAUAGAUGAAAGCUGGACAGCUGCAUGUUCUGAUUCCUUGCCUCAUGUUGUCCAUAUUUUGACAUCGAAGGAUCGUGAAGGUGAAGCCCAGUUUUUGAAGGAGCAGAGUGAUAUUAUCGAGGAUGUUAUGGAUGAAGUUGUGCACGCAUAUCAUGGUGGUUUCAACAAAGCAAUUCAAAAUUAUUGCAAUCCAACUCUACAAAGCCUGGAUAUGUGCUUCAAAUUGCAGUUACAUUAUGUGCUCCAAGUAGAAGAAGUAUUUGUAUAUGAUGCAGUAAAAACUACUGAAGAAACUCUAAUGGAUGUACUAACACAAGUCAUUAAAAAGGCGAAUCACCUUAAUAUAAAAGCAACUCCAAUG